GACGAACGCUGGCGGCGUGCCUAAUACAUGCAAGUAGAACGCACAGUUUAUACCGUAGCUUGCUACACCAUAGACUGUGAGUUGCGAACGGGUGAGUAACGCGUAGGUAACCUGCCUGGUAGCGGGGGAUAACUAUUGGAAACGAUAGCUAAUACCGCAUAAUAUUAAUUAUUGCAUGAUAAUUGAUUAAAAGGUGCAAUUGCACCACUACCAGAUGGACCUGCGUUGUAUUAGCUAGUAGGUGAGGUAACGGCUCACCUAGGCGACGAUACAUAGCCGACCUGAGAGGGUGAUCGGCCACACUGGGACUGAGACACGGCCCAGACUCCUACGGGAGGCAGCAGUAGGGAAUCUUCGGCAAUGGACGAAAGUCUGACCGAGCAACGCCGCGUGAGUGAAGAAGGUUCUCGGAUCGUAAAGCUCUGUUGUAAGAGAAGAACGGGUGUGAGAGUGGAAAGUUCACACUGUGACGGUAUCUUACCAGAAAGG
rnacentral:rRNA from 1 species